rnacentral:rRNA from 1 species
UACGUAGGGUGCAAGCGUUAAUCGGAAUUACUGGGCGUAAAGCGUGCGCAGGCGGUGCUGUAAGACAGGCGUGAAAUCCCCGGGCUUAACCUGGGAAUUGCGCUUGUGACUGCAGUGCUGGAGUGCGGCAGAGGGGGAUGGAAUUCCGCGUGUAGCAGUGAAAUGCGUAGAUAUGCGGAGGAACACCGAUGGCGAAGGCAAUCCCCUGGGCCUGCACUGACGCUCAUGCACGAAAGCGUGGGGAGCAAACAGG